rnacentral:lncRNA from 1 species
CCAGGCAUUUAAUCAUUACAUUAUACUACAUCUAGAGAGGUCUCAGAGACUCCAGCCAUUCCAAAAUGGAGUCUUUUGGUUACCACGUUACCUAUAUAUUUAUGAGAUUUGGUUCUGCCACGUGACUGCAUCUGCAAACACAAAACCCAAGCUUGUAAUAAAGGAGUACUGUAAUAACAGAGCAUGCGAGGGAAACCAGUGGUGCCUGCAAUUCCUUCCCUGCAUCUUAUUAUAUAGUAGCCAUUGC